CCCCCUCUGACCGUCCGCGUGCUGAGUACAGACAGCGAGUUCAUUGUGAUGAGGAGAGGCUCGCGGCCGGUCUAACGGUUAACGGUUAACGGUUAACGGUUAACGCGCUAACCAGCUAACCAGCUGACCAGCUGACCAGCUAACCAGCUCAUUAAACCGGAAGUGGAGGAGCUUCUGUCGGCAGCCGGUGUUUCUUCAGGUUGAUUGACAGCUAAGUGGCCCUAUGAUGGAAGAGCUUCACGACGUCCAGCUGACUGAGAUCAAACCACUCCUAACUGGACAGAAUGGGAGGAAUCUGCAGGACUUUGACUGUCAGGUGAGUUCAGCACAAACAGA